GACGAACGCUGGCGGCGUGCUUAACACAUGCAAGUCGUACGGUAAGGCCCUUUCGGGGGUACACGAGUGGCGAACGGGUGAGUAACACGUGAGUAACCUGCCCACAACUUUGGGAUAACGCUAGGAAACUGGUGCUAAUACUGGAUAUGUGCCCCUGCUGCAUGGUGGGGGUUGGAAAGCUCCGGCGGUUGUGGAUGGACUCGCGGCCUAUCAGCUUGUUGGUGGGGUAGUGGCCUACCAAGGCGGCGACGGGUAGCCGGCCGGAGAGGGUGACCGGCCACAUUGGGACUGAGAUACGGCCCAGACUCCUACGGGAGGCAGCAGUGGGGAAUAUUGCACAAUGGGCGCAAGCCUGAUGCAGCAACGCCGCGUGCGGGAUGACGGCCUUCGGGUUGUAAACCGCGUUCAGCAGGGACGAAGCUUUUUGUGACGGUACCUGCAGAAGAAGCACCGGCUAACUACGUG
rnacentral:rRNA from 1 species